rnacentral:lncRNA from 1 species
CCCCUCAAACUUGAAAAGAAGGACAGAGCCACACAAGAGGACAGCUCCUUCUGCAGUGCCUCCUCUGGCCUGACUCUUUAACUCAGUGUUUCAACGUCUGCAUCGUGACUAGAUGACAUGUGAGUGGAGAUACUGACCACCCCCUGCCCCGCCUUCAUCCCUAGGCUAGUCAUCUGGCUGUGAACCGCUGUGAUUUUUAAAUCUGCCAGUGACUUAGACAAUAACAAAAGGUUGCAUCCAGACUAACUUGGCCCAUGUUAAGAACCCUGGGAGCUCAGCUCACAGAUCUCAAGAUGAGAGUGCAGUGCGCUAUCAAUUUCUACAAUCUCAAAAACAGUGAAAAACAAAACCCCUGCUGCUCCUUGGCUACUUUAUUCUUAUCUGCUGGGUGAUAGCUGAUAGUAAGGUGUUGAGAGCACCCAGAAGAGAAGGAACAGCCCAGCUGCCCAUGGUGGGAGAGGAACAAAGACAUCUGCCUUCUCACGAGGUAUUUAGUUUCAUUGCAACACUACUCAGUCUUUUAACUUUUAUUUUCUCUGCCUCCCCUGCCUGAUGAAGAAAGGAGACAGCCUCAGAGCUAUGCCUCCAGACGCAUCAUUCCUCUUGCAACACUGACUGUUUUCACAGCAAGAUGGGCCCUUUAGCUCUCCUCAUGAAAUGUGAGGCUGUGUGCCCUCUCUGCCUUCCUCUGACUACAGAGGACCACUGGCCCAACCAACUUUGAACUUGUUUUCACUAGCCCAGCCGAUGUGCCACUAUAAGCCUUCAAGGGCCUUACCCCAGCAAGGCCUCUGCUUUGGUGCUCUCCAUGACGCAAUCUGUCUCUCUGCAGACACAACUCUAAGGUGUCUCCAGAGCCAAAGUCAGGUGAAGAAAUGGGGUUAUUGUGUGGAUUAUUUUAGGUCAGAAUACAGGCCAAAAAAACAGAACUGGUUCUGUUUGAAAUUGCCUGGCUGCCCUCAUUUUGUCACUUGACUUUACAUGGAGAGAUACUGCUCCAGGAAUUACCGUACAUUCUGCACCAAGAAUAAAUAACGCAAAGUGGAGACUGAGCUUAUUAAUUUUUUCAAAGCCUUCCUUACCUGAAUAUGUUAAUGUGAAUUAAUGUGCUGGACUGGCCCAGAGGAAAAUAAAGUCCUUCUGUAGUUUAUCUUCUAUACCUAAAUUGGCAGAUUUAUGGAAUUCAUGUUUGCAUUACAUGUAAAGUUUUUACAGUUCUUACACCUGGAUAAGGAUCUUUUGACUGGAAAGGUCAACAUAUUUCAAGGGCUUUGGCUCUGAGAAAGAACGGCUUGGUGGAUUCCAGGUACCAAAUCAUCUGUAAAAUCACAUGCCAAAUCCCAAAAGCUUACUGUCUCCAGGACCACAAACCAAUCAAUUUGGGAGGAAAUUGGCUCAAAUAACAUCAACACUCGUAAUGCCAAUGGCCAAACUCUAGAUGGUGAAUGUGAAAUCUUAAGUGGAAUCUGCUCCCAGGCCAAGACAAUUAAUACAACCAAAUCAUCUGGAUGCAAGUCAAGCUAUGAGAGGAAGGACAGCACCUGUAUCCUCCACUUGCCCAGGAAGUUUCCGGAAUCCACCUGCUCUAGCCCAUCUGUACCCCAGAUCCCCACUUCUUCUUGCUAUGCAUCUGCAUGCUAUCAUCUAGUUCAGCAAAAGACCUUCUGAAGACUAUCUGUGCAGAAGUCACCUGAAGAUAUUAAUAACUAAGAAACAGUUUUUCAGUCUCAAAUAACUUUCUUCCUUUAUACAAAAAAAGUUUAUUAAAAACAUUUUUACUCCACACCUCUUCCCUUGCCCACUAUAUGGCAGAGAUGUAAUUCAAAAGCAGGGAGGUGGGCCUCCAAACCCAAGUUCUUGGCACAUCUGUAAUGAGAACUUGUCUGAGCUGCUCCUCCACCACUGUGGUGAUACAAUCAGAUUGGCUGAACUUGAAUGAUUCUUUCCUUUAUACUGGCAAACCACUCUCUAUUAUUUUAUGUAUUUAGCCCAGAUGUAAAUCUUGUACAAGUCAAAAUCAAAAUAUAUAAAUCAUGCAUCUCCCAGUGCAUUCUAAUGUGCCUGCAGUACAGCCUGAUCAUAAAAAUAUCAGUCAUAGACCUACUCAGAAAAAAGGUUUAACAUUGGCAAAAGAUUAUAGAGUAAAUACUGGGCUUCAGGUUCUAGGGAAUUUGCGAAAAGCCAAUAAGACAUAGGGAACACCAAUAGCCUUUCUUGUGCUAAAUCUCUCUCACAGCCCCCCUGUUUUGAAUCAGGCCAUGUCUUCCCCUGGGAAGAAAAGAAAUGCAAGUUCACAAGUUCUCGUGAAAAGUUGUAAGCUGCAUUUACAACUGGGGAAGAUUUCAGUCUCAGUUGUUUUCUUGCUGGUCAUAGAUAUAUUUGUCCUUUGCUUGGUAUGGAGAAAGAUUCUGAACUUUCAGAAAAAACUUCCAAGUCUAGACUCCAAAGAAUAUAGUUUAUCUUACUAUGGCAUUUAUUUUGCAGACAGUUCCCUCUCCAACACAUGAGUCUAUACAAAUGGUCUCACCUGGCAGCAUAUUUCCCAGCCCAUGCACCCCUCCCCUAUCCCUGAUGCCCUAAGGACACUGGCUGACUACCAGGUGUUCCACCUGAAAGCUCUGUAAAAGAAAGCACAUUGUGAAUUUAGAGAGCAGAAACUGAAGAACUGUAUGUUCAGCUGGUAUUUUCCAUUUUUAAAUUAAAAUUCAUACUUGCUACGAGUCUG